UACGAAGGGGGCUAGCGUUGCUCGGAAUCACUGGGCGUAAAGCGCACGUAGGCGGAUUGUUAAGUCAGGGGUGAAAUCCUGGAGCUCAACUCCAGAACUGCCUUUGAUACUGGCGAUCUCGAGUCCGGGAGAGGUGAGUGGAACUGCGAGUGUAGAGGUGAAAUUCGUAGAUAUUCGCAAGAACACCAGUGGCGAAGGCGGCUCACUGGUCCGGUUCUGACGCUGAGGUGCGAAAGCGUGGGGAGCAAACAGG
rnacentral:rRNA from 1 species